rnacentral:rRNA from 1 species
GUGUCAGCAGCCGCGGUAAAACGUAGGAGGCGAGCGUUAUCCGGAUUUAUUGGGCGUAAAGGGCAAGUAGGCGGUAGGCAAAGUUGGUUGUGACAUCUCCCGGCUCAACUGGGAGGGUGCGGCCAAAACUAGCAUACUAGAGGGCAGAAGAGGGAAGUGGAAUUCCUGGUGUAGCGGUGGAAUGCUCAGAUACCAGGAGGAACACCAGUGGCGAAGGCGGCUUCCUGGUCUGCACCUGACGCUGAGAGGCGAAAGCUAGGGGAGCGAACGGGCUUAGAUACCCCGGUAGUCCUAGCCGUAAACGUUGGAUACUGGGUAUUUGGGAGGUAAGACUUCUGAGUGCCGAAGCAAACGCGUUAAGUAUCCCGCCUGGGGACUACGGCCGCAAGGUUAAAACUCAAAGAAAUUGACGG